CAGUCGCCGCGGUAAUACGUAGGUGGCAAGCGUUGUCCGGAAUUAUUGGGCGUAAAGGGCUCGCAGGCGGUUUCUUAAGUCUGAUGUGAAAGCCCCCGGUUCAACCGGGGAGGGUCAUUGGAAACUGGGAAACUUGAGUGCAGAAGAGGAGAGUGGAAUUCCACGUGUAGCGGUGAAAUGCGUAGAGAUGUGGAGGAACACCAGUGGCGAAGGCGACUCUCUGGUCUGUAACUGACGCUGAGGAGCGAAAGCGUGGGGAGCGAACAGGAUUAGAUACCCCCGUAGUCCCUGUCUCUUAUAC
rnacentral:rRNA from 1 species